UGUAGUAGCAUCUUCUUCAAAUCAUGGAACAGGACGUUCAGUCAAACGUUGUACAUGUAACUCCAAUGACAGCAGCAAAUGCGUGUAGACUUUGUGAUCUGGGUUUCAGCCCAUCAAGAUGUAAUAAAUACAGACUAUUUCACGGACAUAAGCUUACAAACAAAGCGGAUUACACGGUUGUUUUGGAGGAGUUUGUUGGCAAACUUCAGGACACAACACUGGCAGUCUGCAGCUCAUGCAAAACUCUUUUACUGAGAUACGGUCGCGUAUCUAAAGACUCACAAAGAAUAAAAAUGCUUAUUACCGAUAUGUGGAUGAAGACCAGAGAGAAACGGUGUGCAACACCAACGACUACAUUAGAAGUGAAGAGACGACGGGAAGUGGUCGACACACCGUGUAAUGAUAACAAUACAGCAUACACAUCGUUACAGUCCACAGUCACCGGAGACACAACAACAGCAAAGGACUGCCCACCAAAAUGUCUAUGAAACUACAAUGUAAGUCUCACUUAAUUGGACUUGAUGACUGCAGCGCCACACAGCAUGUUCUCAAUAAAGAAUUCUGCUGAAGACGUACCCGAGUCUCCUGGUCUUCACUUCUGAAUUUCCUACAGCCCGUCGAAGGGUUGGUCGUCAGAGAGAGGGAGGCAGAACUGUUGUCUCUAAUGAAGUCUGGGCCAUCAGCGUUGAUCAUGUGGUGAACUGAGGCCUUAAUAUGGCAGAGGCUACCAGAUUAGUUGAUCUGAAUCUAAAAAGAUCAACUGUCAAGUCUAUCAUCCGAACUUUUUGCCAAGAAAACCAAAUUGACAGAAAACCCCAUAGUGGUGGCCGUGUGCUGACUGACCAGCAGGAGUGGGCAGUGAUGGAAAUGGUGAGGGCCAGGAAUGAUAUAUGGCUGUCGGAAAUAAAGCAGGCAAUUGAGGAGAACAAUGACACCUUUGCCAAUGUGGCAUCCAUCAGCCUACUAACAGUAGCCCGCCUUUUGAAGAGGCACCAGGUAUCAAUGAAACACAUUUACCUGGUGCCUUUUGAGAGAAGCAAUGACCGGGUGAAACAACUGAGGGCUGAGUAUAUUCAGGUACAGCACUAUAUACUGUAUUACUGUUACUAUUUGAUGCAUCGCCUACUUCAAAUCAAAUCACUUUUAUUGUCACACAACCAUAUACACAAGUGCAACAGUGGGUGAAAGUCUUGGAUACUUCAUAUGUGUAUUGGAACUACACUGUAAAAACAACUAACCGAAAUAUAUUUUUUAGAGGAUGAUGAUGCUUGAUGCUGAUGUGAACCAUCACAAGUACAUUUUUGUUGAUGAAGCAGGCUUUAACCUGUCCAAAACUCGUUGCUUGGACGGAACCUCAUCGGCCAACGGGCCACUGUCCAAGUGCCUUGACAACGUGAAAGAAACAUCUCCAUGUGCGCAGCUAUCUCUGAAGAUGGUGUGGUAGGACGUAGGCCAUUACUUGGCUCCUCCAAUGCUGCACAUCUCAUUGAGUUUCUCAGUGAAAUUGAGCCGGCCUGUCAAGGUGAAGGGGUCAUCUAUGUAAUUGUGUGGGACAAUGUCAGGUUCCACCAUGCAGAGGUGGUUCAAGCAUGGUUUCAGGCACAUCCCCCAAUUCAUGACCCUCUACCUGCCCCCAUACUCUCCUUUCCUUAACCCUAGUGAGGAAUUUUUUUCAGCAUGGAGGUGGAAGGUCUAUGAUCGCCAAUCCCUUGAGCACACCACCCUCCUUUAGGCCAUGGAUGAGGCAUGUGAUGACAUCGGUGUAGACCAAUGUCAAGCAUGGAUUCACCAUGCCAAAAGGUUUUUCCCAAGGUGCAUGAACAAUGGUGACAUUCAUUGUGAUGUGGAUGAGAAUCUACGGCCAAAUGCUCAAGACAGGCUUGAUCCAAAUUAAUGUAAUGUGUGCUAAAUGUUAUGUUUUGUUUUCAUUUAGUUAAUUUGUUUUAUUUAACUGUGUACAUUUGAUUAUAGAGAGUAUACCUAUUUUACAAUUAUAUCUGAAAAACACAAUUUGCCCAAAUGAUUGUAGAGGAUGUCUUCAUUGAUCACAACUUGAUUACACAUAGGAUGGAUAUAAUGGAAAUGAUAGAUUCUGUAAACGUUGGGUAAUGUAAGUGUAUUGCCUAAUGUGAAAACUGUGUAAUCUGUCUUUUACAGUAUUGUAGUAUAUUACUUUCAGCACUUCUUAGGGCAAUUUGUAACAUGUAUCUUGCAUUGUUUGUUAUUGGAUUCACUGGUAGUUAAAAUGACUAAACUGAAAAGAUAUUAUUAUGUUGUGUUUUGGUGAUUAAACCAUAUGUUCUCAUGACAUUUCAUGUAAAACUUAUAUUUUGAAGCAAUGGAUGUGUGGUAAGAGAUGUUUACAAUCCAAAUUAAUGCACACUGGCAAGUUUUGAAUGAAAGACUGGCUGCAUUACAAGUGUGAUGAGUUUGGAGUUAUGUACUAAAAGUUGUGAAGUUUUACCACAUACUUGCGAUAAUAGUACUAAAGCAAUCAACAGAAACUGUAAUUGCAUUGUAAAUGCAAUUAUAUGUGAAUAUUUCAGUUCAUAAUACCUGAAUAUGCAGUUAGCAACCAAAAAAAAAAAAAAUGCACACAAAAAUACCAUAUAUUUAGGUGAAACCUGUGGGUACUGGAAGACCCUUCAUUAUUUUUGUAUUAAACUUUUCUGCCUCAGAGAAUGCAAGAAAACGUAUCUAAGGUUAAAAUAAAUGUGCAAUAAAUCUGUAAACUAAAAACACAAAUGAGGAUUCAAUAAUUAGGCCUGUUACCAUUAUUACAUUGUCUGAUAUUUAAAUCUGGUAUAUGGCCAUAUACAAACAAAUACAGUAUAAUUAGAGAUUCAAGAUGGCUCCGCUGAUGGCAGACCCGCUCUCCAAUCAUUUUGUUGUUUUUGUUUGUUUGCCUGUAGUAAUAUUUUUGCAAUCAGUUUUACCAGGGACAAACUGCUUUCAUCAGCACGUACCAGACAAUCUUUUUCCGGUUUUGGACUGUUCUGACAUUUUGCUGGACAUUUUAGUCGGAGGCGCAGCUGUGUGGUUUAAGCUUACUAUGAGAUGAAAGCAAGGAAAGCGAGCUGGCGCACAGGUCAAGCUCCAACAGUGCUGCUGAGUGUACAUCUAGCGAAUCUCUGCUCUCUUCCUAACAGUGUUGUAGUCAAGACCACCUAAACCAAGACCAAGACUUUGAGGGAUUGAAACCAAGACCAACAGGGUUCCCACGGAUCCUUAAGAAAUCUUAAAAUGUCUUAAAUUCAGUUUUCCAAAAUGUAAGGUCAUAAAACGUCUUAAAUAUCUUAAAUGAUACAACAAAGGUUAUAUUAUCGCUUAAAGAUGUCUUAAAUUUGGAGGCAAUAAGACAGAAUCCUGAUAUGACCUAAUAUGAAUAUCAAACUUCAGAAGAAUACGAUCUAAUUAAAUAAAUGCGUGCGCUGCAUCCUUCAAAGUGAAAACAUGACUAAUGUAUUUUCUCCAAGCACACGGGAGCUUGUGAUUGUUUCCAGCUGUUGCUGAGCAGUCCGCAAU